rnacentral:rRNA from 1 species
UAAUACGUAGGGUGCAAGCGUUAAUCGGAAUUACUGGGCGUAAAGCGUGCGCAGGCGGUUUUGUAAGACCGAUGUGAAAUCCCCGGGCUUAACCUGGGAACUGCAUUGGUGACUGCAAGGCUUGAGUGUGUCAGAGGGAGGUGGAAUUCCGCGUGUAGCAGUGAAAUGCGUAGAUAUGCGGAGGAACACCGAUGGCGAAGGCAGCCUCCUGGGAUAACACUGACGCUCAUGCACGAAAGCGUGGGGAGCAAACAGGAUUAGAUACCCUGGUAGUCCACGCCCUAAACGAUGUCUACUAGUUGUCGGGGAUUAAUUUCCUUGGUAACGCAGCUAACGCGGGAAGUAGACCGCCUGGGGAGUACGGUCGCAAGAUUA